AGGGCAAGUCUGGUGCCAGCAGCCGCGGUAAUUCCAGCUCCAAUAGCGUAUAUUAAAGUUGUUGCAGUUAAAAAGCUCGUAGUUGAAUUUCGGGGUCAGCAGGUUGGUCGUGCCAAUGGUAUGCACUGGCCUUGCUGAUUCCUCCCUCUUGAUGAGCCGUAAUGCCAUUAAUUUGGUGUUGUGGGGAAUCAGGACUGUUACUUUGAAAAAAUUAGAGUGUUUAAAGCAGGCAAGCGCUUGAAUACAUUAGCAUGGAAUAAUGAAAUAGGGCGUUCGAUCCUAUUUUGUUGGUUUCUAGGAUUGACGUAAUGAUUAAUAGGGAUAGUUGGGGGCAUUAGUAUUCAAUUGUCAGAGGUGAAAUUCUUGGAUUUAUUGAAGACUAACUACUGCGAAAGCAUUUGCCAAGGAUGUUUUCAUUAAUCAAGAACGAAAGUUAGGGGAUCGAAGACGAUCAGAUACCGUCGUAGUCUUAACCAUAAACUAUGCCGACUAGGGAUCGGAUGAUGUUAAUUUUUUAAUGACUCAUUCGGCGCCUUACGGGAA
rnacentral:rRNA from 1 species